GACGAACGCUGGCGGCGCGCUUAACACAUGCAAGUCGAGCGGUAAGGCCCUUUCGGGGGUACGACGAGCGGCGAACGGGUGAGUAACACGUGGGUGACCUGCCCUCAGCUCUGGGAUAAGCCUGGGAAACCGGGUACUAAUACCGGAUAUGACUCCAUGACGCAUGUUGUGGGGUGGAAAGCCUUGUGCGGCUGAGGAUGGGCCCGCGGCCUAUCAGCUUGUUGGUGGGGUGAUGGCCUACCAAGGCGACGACGGGUAGCCGGCCUGAGAGGGCGACCGGCCACACUGGGACUGAGACACGGCCCAGACUCCUACGGGAGGCAGCAGUGGGGAAUCUUGCGCAAUGGGCGAAAGCCUGACGCAGCGACGCCGCGUGAGGGAUGACGGCCUCGGUGUAACCGU
rnacentral:rRNA from 1 species